GAUGAACGCUAGCUACAGGCUUAACACAUGCAAGUCGAGGGGAAACGGCAUUAAGUGCUUGCACUUUUUGGACGUCGACCGGCGCACGGGUGAGUAACGCGUAUCCAACCUUCCCAUGACUAAGGGAUAACCUGCCGAAAGGCAGACUAAUACCUUAUGGUCUUCACUGACGGCAUCAGAUGUGAAGUAAAGAUUUAUCGGUUAUGGAUGGGGAUGCGUCUGAUUAGCUUGUUGGCGGGGUAACGGCCCACCAAGGCAACGAUCAGUAGGGGUUCUGAGAGGAAGGUCCCCCACAUUGGAACUGAGACACGGCCCAAACUCCUACGGGAGGCAGCAGUGAGGAAUAUUGGUCAAUGGGCGAGAGCCUGAACCAGCCAAGUAGCGUGCAGGAUGACGGCCCUAUGGGUUGUAAACUGCUUUUGUAUGGGGAUAAAGUCAGUCACGCGUGAUUGUUUGCAGGUACCAUACGAAUAAGGACCGGCUAAUUCCGUGCCAGCAGCCGCGGUAAUACGGAAGGUCCGGGCGUUAUCCGGAUUUAUUGGGUUUAAAGGGAGCGUAGGCUGGAGAUUAAGUGUGUUGUGAAAUGUAGACGCUCAACGUCUGACUUGCAGCGCAUACUGGUUUCCUUGAGUACGCACAACGUUGGCGGAAUUCGUCGUGUAGCGGUGAAAUGCUUAGAUAUGACGAAGAACUCCGAUUGCGAAGGCAGCUGACGGGAGCGCAACUGACGCUGAAGCUCGAAGGUGCGGGUAUCGAACAGG
rnacentral:rRNA from 1 species